CCUACGGGGAGCAGCAGUGAGGAAUAUUGGUCAAUGGGCGGAAGCCUGAACCAGCCAAGUAGCGUGCGGGAUGAAGGCACUACGGGUCGUAAACCGCUUUUGCACGGGGAUAACACCCUCCACUUGUGGAGGUCUGCAGGUACCGUGCGAAUAAGUGCCGGCUAAUUCCGUGCCAGCAGCCGCGGUAAUACGGAAGGCCCGCGCGUUAUCCGGUUUCAUGGGGCAUAAAGGGAGCGUAGGCGGGCGUUCAAGUCAGCUGUAAAAUCGCGCGGCUCAACCGCGACCCGCAGUUGUAACUGGACGCCUUGAGUUCACAACAGGCAGGCGGAAUUGGUG
rnacentral:rRNA from 1 species